rnacentral:rRNA from 1 species
AGUGGGGAAUUUUGGACAAUGGGCGCAAGCCUGAUCCAGCCAUGCCGCGUGAGUGAAGAAGGCCUUCGGGUUGUAAAGCUCUUUCGGCCGGGAAGAAAUCGCACAGGUUAAUACCUUGUGUGGAUGACGGUACCGGAAUAAGAAGCACCGGCUAACUACGUGCCAGCAGCCGCGGUAAUACGUAGGGUGCGAGCGUUAAUCGGAAUUACUGGGCGUAAAGCGUGCGCAGGCGGUUUUGUAAGACAGAUGUGAAAUCCCCGGGCUCAACCUGGGAACUGCAUUUGUGACUGCAAGGCUAGAGUAUGGCAGAGGGGGGUGGAAUUCCACGUGUAGCAGUGAAAUGCGUAGAGAUGUGGAGGAACACCGAUGGCGAAGGCAGCCCCCUGGGCCAAUACUGACGCUCAUGCACGAAAGCGUGGGGAGCAAACAGGAUUAGAUACCCUGGUAGUCCACGCCCUAAACGAUGUCAACUAGGUGUUGGUGGGGUUAAACCCAUUAGUACCGUAGCUAACGCGUGAAGUUGACCGCCUGGGGAGUACGGCCGCAAGGUUAAAACUCAAAGGAAUUGACGGGGACCCGCACAAGCGGUGGAUGAUGUGGAUUAAUUCGAUGCAACGCGAAAAACCUUACCUACCCUUGACAUGUCAGGAAUCCCGGAGAGAUUUGGGAGUGCCCGAAAGGGAACCUGAACACAGGUGCUGCAUGGCUGUCGUCAGCUCGUGUCGUGAGAUGUUGGGUUAAGUCCCGCAACGAGCGCAACCCUUGUCAUUAAUUGCCAUCAUUUAGUUGGGCACUUUAAUGAGACUGCCGGUGACAAACCGGAGGAAGGUGGGGAUGACGUCAAGUCCUCAUGGCCCUUAUGGGUAGGGCUUCACACGUCAUACAAUGGUCGGUACAGAGGGUUGCCAAGCCGCGAGGUGGAGCCAAUCCCAGAAAGCCGAUCGUAGUCCGGAUCGUAGUCUGCAACUCGACUACGUGAAGUCGGAAUCGCUAGUAAUCGCGGAUCAGCAUGUCGCGGUGAAUACGUUCCCGGGUCUUGUACACACCGCCCGUCACACCAUGGGAGUGGGUUCUACCAGAAGUAGUUAGCCUAACCGCAAGGAGGGCGAUUACCACGGUAGGGUUCAUGACUGGGGUG